CAUCUUCAAAGUAAUUGCAAAGAACAUGCAAUGCAAUGAUCAGGACCAUGGUGAGGUCCCCUUGGCUCACCAUGUGGUGGCCCAGGGCUCUGCUUGAGACAGGACACAGAGUUAAGUUGGGAGACGGUCAUUGUUUAGAAAGGCAUAUUCAUCCGGAAUGGUAUUCGCGAUAAGAUUACGCACAAACCUAAACCUUGGCCUGGGAAAAGGAUGGCGGCGAGGCGGGAAGAGGAGAUGCAGAUAAGCCCUGCUUUUGCUGCUUGCGCACAUAAUUAAGAAGCCGCCCGUCAUCUGGAGCGUGGGCUCUGUCCGGCCUAAGGUGCUUAUUUUGUUGUUCCCUGGCCCUCUAUGUGUGAAGGAACAAGAGCCCAAGAGCUUAGAAUUACGGAUCUAGAUGAGGUGUCCAGGAGGUGUCGGCUCUUGUCUCCAUUUUAGGGAGAGAAUGGUGACUUUGACUUGCCUUGAGCGAGCCUGAGCAUGGACGGUAGGGCUGUGAGAAAAGGGCUGGAGAGACUGGGGGCGCGACGUUUUAGGGGGCCGUCUUUGGACCACUGAGUUAGCGCCACUGGGGUGUAUAGGCAAGAGUAGGGUACUCGCCCUUUGCUGUACCCAGGAGCAGCUCUUGGGGGCUGAGCGCCUUCUGCGGCUCUUUGGUUUCAAGGACACAGCGAGCUGCUCAGGACUUUGGGAGCCAACAUCUGUCUGACUGGUGACGUCAGCAGCCCGUGUAAUCCUCUUGUGCUGAAGGCAGAUGCCUUAUUUGUUUGGCUGGAGCGAGCCAUUAAUCCCUAAUUCUGGAUCAGCAAGCGAGGGGGAAAGACCGGACCGCUCCGAUCCACCCCCUCCCCACCCCCACCUCCCACCCUAAAGCACCUUAUACCACGGAAGCCUCUCAGCCUCCUCUUUCCUCCGCGAACGCGCUGAGCAGCGAUUGAAAACGCUUUGGUCCUCUGCAGGGGCGCGUUGCGGGGUCUCUGCGUUAGACCGGUUCUCAGCGGUUUCUGCAGCCACAGCCUGGCUCUACGCCUCCCCCCGGGCCGCGGGGGCGGAGAAUCCUCCCUUCCUCGGACACUGGAGCCGGAGCGGACCUUGCCCUCCCGCGGACCGCGCGGUAGGGGACGCCGAGAAAAGAGCCCCUGCGCCCGCCGCCUCCGGCCCGCCGCGCAGAGGGCUCCGCCCGUAGAGGUCAACUCCCCUCACCCUUUCGGCUCUCCUGAUCGCCCUCCCUCCGCCCGGCCCAGGCUCCGCCAGCCUCCCGACUCGGGCCGCAGUCUGAGGAGUGCGCCUCCGCUGCGCUGCUCUGAACCUUAA
rnacentral:lncRNA from 9 species